rnacentral:rRNA from 1 species
GACGAACGCUGGCGGCGUGCUUAACACAUGCAAGUCGAACGAUGAACCCGGAGCUUGCUCCGGUGGAUUAGUGGCGAACGGGUGAGUAACACGUGAGUAACCUGCCCUUGACUCUGGGAUAACUGCGGGAAACUGUAGCUAAUACCGGAUACGACCCUCGGCGGCAUCGCCAGGGGGUGGAAAGAAUUUCGGUCAAGGAUGGACUCGCGGCCUAUCAGCUAGUUGGUGAGGUAACGGCUCACCAAGGCGACGAGGGGUAGCCGGCCGGAGAGGGCGACCGGCCACACUGGGACUGAGACACGGCCCAGACUCCUACGGGAGGCAGCAGUAGGGAAUAUUGGGCAAUGGGCGCAAGCCGGACCCAGCGACGCCGCGUGAGGGAUGAAGGUCUUCGGAUUGUAAACCUCUUUCAGUAGGGAAGAAGCGAAAGUGACGGUACCUAAAGAAGAAGCACCGGCUAACUAUGUGCCAGCCGCCGCGGUAA